AACGAACGCUGGCGGCAUGCCUAACACAUGCAAGUCGAACGAUACCUUCGGGUCUAGUGGCGCACGGGUGCGUAACGCGUGGGAACCUGCCCUUAGGUUCGUAAUAACUCCCCGAAAGGGGUGCUAAUACCGGAUAAUGUCUUCGGACCAAAGAUUUAUCGCCUUUGGAUGGGCCCGCGUUGGAUUAGCUAGUUGGUAGGGUAAAAGCCUACCAAGGCGACGAUCCAUAGCUGGUCUGAGAGGAUGAUCAGCCACACUGGGACUGAGACACGGCCCAGACUCCUACGGGAGGCAGCAGUGGGGAAUAUUGGACAAUGGGCGAAAGGCUGAGACAGCAAUGCCGCGUGAGUGAUGAAGGCCUGAGGGUUGUAAAGCUCUUUUACCCGGGAUGAUAAUGACAGUACCGGGAGAAUAAGCGCCGGCUAACUCCGUG
rnacentral:rRNA from 1 species